GUUUUAUAUUUGGGGCGACAUAAAGCUCUGGCGACCAGUGGGUAGGAGAUGUUAACCCUGGAGAAAGGAACUGUCUUGUUUGCCAUGUUAUUUAUGAAUAUUCAAUUUUGCUAUAGAAAAUGAGAGAAAUUAAAUAUAGAAGCAAGUAGCUUAUGAGAUUUUUUUUUUUUAGACAGAGUUAAAAUAAAUAGAACAUAUAUGGGCUGGAUAUAGAUCAAAUCAGAAUGUUACUUAUAGACAAGGGAUGAGAAGACUAAGUAAACCUUAAAUAUUUAUAAGGCACGGAUCACGUCUUCUCCAGAUUGAAGCAAUGUGACUCCUCUGUUGGCCGCUCAGUGGUGAUGCUCCAAGAAACCUAGCUAAAACCCACAGCUGCUCAGCAGCUUACUUGGGGUGCUGUAGUGUGAACAGGUGUACUUGGCCCUGAGUCGUCCCAAUAGGAGCUCUUUUGUGUGUUUAUUUCAGGUGCCACCUUCAGCUGUUCCCGGGGCUUGCCCUCAACACUGACCUCCGUAGCCACACCAGCAGGAGAGAAGGCUGCUGUGGCAGAGAGAGAACAACAUCUGUGGACGUUGUGUGACCCAGGACUGAGGUAGGGCAGGCCUUUUACCUGCUUGCCCUCAUCCUAAGUGUGUUCACCCGUCCCAUCUCUUUGCCUUGCUUCUUUUCAGUGCGUGCUCUAAGUUGACGAAACGAAUGGUGUGAUUGAAGCAUCUUAAUUUGGCCCAUGAGCCUUUGUGUUCUGUGACCUCUGGUAUAGGCGGCCUGGAAGGAGAGUUAGAAGCUAUCAUUGCCUUCAGGAAAGAAGAUAUGCUGAGUGUGAAGUGCCUGCUAUCCUGGAGGAAGAUGUUACCUUCAAGGUGGUAGGCGCACCUGAGCAUCAGGUCACUUUGGGGUCAUUCAGCUUAGUAUGGUCCCCUGCUAGGUGUUAUGUGCCAUGUGGGCAGGGACCUUGUCUAGUUCACUGCUCUACCUUAGUGACGAACAUAUGCUUAGCACUCAAGAGGCUGAAUACAAAGUGAUCCAAUAGUGCCCUGCUGAGAGGCUGAGUCUCUGCUGGGGGACGGAGGGUGGGGACCAGAGUCACAGGCCAAAGACUGAGCCCUGGGAGGGAAUAUGGAGCGGGAGCCCAAUGUGCAGAGUGGUUGGUCCCAG
rnacentral:lncRNA from 12 species